rnacentral:lncRNA from 1 species
AUCUUUAUUGAGGACGUGAGCGUUGCUCCUGGUGCUGAACAGAGCGCGAAGGUUCGCCGUCGUUGGGUCCGCCCUCCCCACUUUCGGUCGCCGCCUUCACCCACCUCCCUCCUUCUAGGGCGCUGUCCCAGCUCCGUCUCCCAGCCUUUUUCUGUCCUUCCAGAUCUCUUGUUCCCCCUUCCUGACCACUAGUUCUGAACCGUGUCCCGGAUUUUGGUCUGAAAUUUUGGUGCCCAUGAGCGUUCUCAUAGCUCUGGGAGGGGGUACUGUGUGAAAUCCUGGGGUAGAGGGGACGAUGGCUGGAGAGGGGUCUGGGGUGCCAGCACCCCGAACAAUAGCUUUAACUAUCCCAUCAGCUAGUUUUAUGAAACAUGUCGCGACCACCUGCUUGUUUGGAUCGCCCCUGCGGAGCAGGGACCAGAGAUGACCCUCCCGAGGCGGGAGCAGAGGCCAAAUUCUUCCCUGCCUUGCUGGUCCCCAGCAGUCUCCCGGGCUCGGGGCCCCUUCACUGGAGGCUGCACCCCCUCCCAGGCUGCGAGUCCCGAGUGCUCUGGGAUGCCACGUGGAGCCCGGCGUUGCCCCAUGGCUGCGGGCCCCGCUUCUUCGGGUCCCCGCCCCUCGUCCGUCACGACCGCAUGCCUUAACCCCUUGAAGGGACUGACACAGAAACUCAGUCCUCCCCCCACCCUCGGUGCAUUCCAGCUCUCCCUGCGUAACUCCUGGCACGCGCCGGUCUCGCCAGGCCAAUGGGUGGACCUGGCGCAACAGACGUCACGAGAGGAGCGGAGGCGAGGGGUGAACGCGGAGCACUCCAAUCGGUCAGUCAUUGUUUCUAUUGGCACAAUGGGAGGCCCCGCCCCUCACGGCGGACUCAUCGCAUGGGGGAGGGGGCUCCGCGGGUUGCCGGCUAACCGUGAGAGAGUCCGGGAGGUACACUAUACGGACCGGCCUCCAAAGGCGGAAUCGAUAACGAGCUGCAGCGCCGGGUGCAGAGGACGCGGGCAUCCCGAAGCCCAGGAAGAGGUCAGGGCCGGGACCCCAGAACGCUCCACAGGGUGCGGCUCCCGCGAUGGGGUGGAUCCUGGUUCUAACAGGCGAGGAACUCCUGGCCAAGGCCUCUGGCCCGCCCCGAACGGUCCCUAUGACAUCACCAUCAACCAAUCAGUCGGCGCAUCCUUUCGCCCCUUGACUGCUCCGCUUCCGGGAGGCGGGGCUUCUGCGGGUUCCACCUCCCGAGCGCCCCUUGUGGCUACCAAGGUCAGGCAACAGGUGUCCAGUUGUUCCCUCUCCUGUCUACGAAUCUGAGGACCUCCCCAGGAUCAGAGCUCUGGGCCUGAUACACGGCCGGGGUUCCUACGGGUUUGUGAGUGGGGGUGGAAGAUCUGCAGAGGCACUUAGGGCUGAACUCCUUUGAAUGGGAGCCAAUCGGUGCAGGGGCUGGAGGAGCGAGUCCCCCAAAGUAGUUUUAUUUAUCUAUUUAGAGACAAGGUCUCACUCUUUCGGAGUGCAGUGGUGAUCACAGCUCACCGUAGCCUCGAACUCCCCAGGCGAUUCUCUCACCUCAGCCUCCCGAGUAGCUGGGACUACGGGUACAUGUCAUCACACUUGGCUAAUUUUUGCAUUUUUUAUAGAGACAGGGUCUCACCAUGUAGGCCAGAUUAGUCUUGAACUCCUGGGCUCAAGCAAUCCGCCCAUCUUGGCCUCCCAAAGUGCUGGGAUUAUAGGUGUGAGCCACCGCGCCCGGCAACCCAGAAGUGGUUUUGACAGCACCAGCGCUUUCUGUGUCCACAAUCUAAUGUUGGCCAGGCUGGUAUCAAACUCCUGACCUCUAGUGAUCUGCCCGCCUCAGCCUCCCAAAGUGCUGGGAUUACCGGCAUGAGGCACCGUGCCCAGCCUAUCCUCCUUCUCUUAUCAGCUCCCAACUAGAGGUCCACCCAGGACCCAGAGACCUGGAUUUGAGGCUGCUGGGCGGCAGAUGGAGCGAUCAGAAGACCAGGAGACGGGAGCUGGAGUGCAGUGGCUGUUCACAAGCGUGAAAGCAAAGAUUAAAAAAUUUGUUUUUAUAUUAAAAAAGUUUUUAGAGAUGGGGGUCUCACUUUGUGGCCCAGCCUGCAGUGCAGUGGCGCGAUCAUAGCUCCCUGCUGCCUCGACUUCCUAGGCUCAAGGGACCCUCCUGUCUUGGCCUCUGAGUAGCUGAGACUACAGGUAUGCUCCACCACACCCGGCUAAUUUCUUUACUUUUUUGUAGGGACAGGGUCUCAUCAUUUUGCCCAGGCUGGUCUGGAACUCUUGAGCUCAAGUGAUCCUCCUGCCUUGGCCUCCCAAAGUGCUGGGAUUACAGGCAUGAGCCACCACAGCCAGUCAAGAUUUUUUAACAGGACAGGACUGUCUAACAGGAUUGUCUAAUAGGACAUAAAAUACACUAACUAUAAAGGAAAGUAUUGAUAAAUUGGAUUACAUAAUGAUUGAGAACCUUCUUUUAUCAAAAGACAUUAAAAGUGGGAGAAGAUACUCUAAGAUAGAACAUCCAUGGACUCAUAUCCUGAAUACAUACUACAAAUCAAUAAAAUAUACACAAACAGAUAAAUGGGGCAAGAGAUUCGAAUAGUUACUUCACAAAAGAGAACAUUCAAAUAAUAUUGAAAAGGUGCUCAACCUCUUUAGUCAUCAGGGAAAUGCAAAUUGAAAAAAAUAAAUACUGGCUAGGUGAGGCGACUCACAUCUGUAAUCCCAGCACCUUGGGAGGCUGAGAUGGACAGAUCACUUGAGGCCAGGAGUUUGAGACCAGCCUGGCCAGCAUGGCAAAACCCUGUCUUUACUCAAAGCACAAAAGUUAGCCGGGCAUGUUGGCCCACGCCUGUGGUCCCAGCUACUUGGGAGGCUGAGGCAUGAGAAUCGCUUGAACCCAGGAGGAGGAGGAUGCAGUGAGCUGAGAAUGCACCACUGGACUCCAUCCUGGGCAACAGAACAAGACUUUACCUCCCAAAAAAAAGGUGGAGAGGGGAGGACUACUGCACUCUACCAGGAUAGCGAAAAUAAAAAUGACUUGACAAUACCAAGUUUUGGGAAAGAUAGAAGCUUGAACUGUCUGACACUACUGAAGGAGCAUACAUUGGUACAACUACUUUGGAAACCUAUUUGGCAGUAUCUGCCUGUGACCGUGAAAUUCCACUCUUUAUUUGGGAAUAUACCCUCCUAAAAUAAUGCGUAUGAGCAACAUGAAGACAUGUACAACAGUGCUCCUGGCAGCAGUAUUUGCAACAGACAAAAAUUGGAAACAACUGAAAGGUCAUCAACAGUGGAUGGAUACGCUGGGUGUGGUGGCUCAUGCCUGUAAUCCCAGCACUUUGGGAGGCCAAGGAGGGUGGAUCACCCGAAGUCAGGAGUUUAAGACCAGCCUGGCCAACAAGGAGAAACCUUGUCUCUACUAAAAAUACAAAAAUUAGCUGGGUGUGGUGGCGCACGCCUGUAAUCCCAGCUACUCAGGAGGCUGAGACAGAAUUACUUGACCCCUCAUCCUGGGGUUGGCCUUAUGCAUGUGCAGCUUAUGGCUCAGCACAUAUGCCAAAGACACGGUGCCAGCACUUUUUUUUUUUUUUUUGAGUUGGGGUCUCACUCUCACCCAGGCUGGAGUGCAGUGGUGCAAUUGCUCCUGAGCAUAAGUGAUUCUUCCACCUCAGCCUCCCGAGUAGCUAGGACUACAGGUGUGGGCCACCACGCCCAGCUAAUUUUUGUAUUUUUUGUAGGGAUGGGGUCUUCCUAUGCUGUCCAGGUUGGUCUCAAACUCCUGGGCUCAAGCGAUUUUCCCUCUACGGCCUCCCAAAGUGCUAGGAUUACAGGUGUGAGCCACCUGCACACUUACACACCCAUUCCUAGCUGCAGCUUCAGAAACUUCUGACCCAGGAAGUCAGCCCAAACCCCCUCACUGUCCCCCAAAAUUUGAGUUCUUCUCAACUCUACCCAAACACUCCCCUUUCUUGGGGUGGCUUAAUGCUCUGUCUCAUUGCCCUUCCUACUGCCUACCCACAUAUCACAUCUACCAACCUUCCACGCAGCCAUAGACGUGUUCUAUCAAAGACAGUUCCCUCCCCAAGAGGACUUCUCUGACUAAUCAUAAUCUGCCUUUGGUUGUAAUUUUGUGUUGUGAGGCCACCACAAGGGUGUUUGCUGAAGAGGUCCUGGAGUCCCCUCAGAGCACGCUUGCUACCAGGAGUCAGCAUGUAUGUAACUUCAUCAGCUGGGGCUUCUGCUUCUCUUACAAACAGGUGCCAGGGCCCACCUUGGGCACUCCUGCAGAAGUGAGCAGAGGCUUCUGCCAUGGGGCCAUACCUUGUUUGACCUAGGUGCCAGCACUGGGACAGAUGGCACAGCACAGUCCUGCCGUUCCCACAGGGUUUGUGUGUGCAUCAUGACAGGAAACACAGCAAGUCACAAAGGCUGUCCGAUGUCCCUGCCUCAGCUUCCUGAGGACCUGUGCUUUUUACUGAAAUACACUAUCUCAUAAGAAUACUUCCCUGCCUUCCGCACCCCAGUGAGAAAGGAGUUGUGACUGGAAGUCAGUGUCAUUGACUUUGGAUAUGAAAAGGAGGCAGAAUGUCUCCAGGGUUAAAAGUAGUAACCAGGCCAGGCGUGGUGGCUUAUGCGUGUAAUCCCAGCAUUUUGGGAGGCGGAGGUGAGUGGGUCACCUGAGGUCAGGAGUUCAAGACCAGCCGGGCCAACAUGGCGAAAUCCCAUCUGUACUGAAAAUACAGGAAUUAGCCGGGUGUGGUGGCAGGCGCCUGUAAUACCAGCUACUGGGGAGGCUGAGGCAGGAAGAAUUGCUUGAACCCAGGAGGUUAAGGGUUGCAGUGAGCCAAGAUCACACCACUGCACUCCAGCCUGGGUGACAGAACACGAUUCCAUCUGAAAAAAAAAAAAAAAAAAAAAAGCGGGGGCUGGGCGCGGUGGCUCACACCUGUAAUCCCAGCACUUUGGGAGCCUGAGACAGGUGGAUCGUCUGAGAUCAGGAGUUCGAGACCAGCCUGACCAACAUGGUGAAACCCCGUCUCUACUAAAAAUACAAAAAUUAGCUGGAUGUGGUGGUGGGCACCUGUAAUCCCAGCUAUUCGGGAAGCUGAGGCAGAGGAAUCAUCGCUUGAACCUGGGAGGUAGAGGUUGCAGUGAGCCGAGAUCACACCAUUGCAUUCCAGCCUGGGUGACAAGAGCAAAACUCCGUCUCAAAAAGAAAAAAAAAAAAAGUUAGUAACCAGGUUGUGUCCCACAGAGCUUUACUGGGGGCCAAACACUGUCAACCCCUCCUCAGGUCCCAGUGAGUUUGUGCACCUGGCCUUCUGACAGUAAGCGGUGAGCAGGGCAUCCCCCACCAGGACCCCAUACUUUCCUCCCAUGGGUUUCCUAUGGAAUGUUGCUGCUUCAACUUCUGAGAGCCUCUUGCUGGGGGGCCCCAUCCCUAGCCCUUGCCUCCCUGUGCUGCUUUACCUUCUUUUUGGGAGGAUAACUGCCCUCUGUUUUCAGCACCCCAAUAAGAAAGAAAAAGUCAUGACCAGAAGUCAGUGUCAGUGAUUGCUGAUGUGUGGAAACAUCUGAUGAAUGAAGAGUUUGGGUAAAAAAUAAAGGGAACUGAUGAAAACCACUUGUGUGUGAAGCCUAUAUAGUGGUGUGUGCCUGUAGUCCCAGCUACUCGGGAAGCUGAAGUGGGAGGACUGCUUGAGCACAGGAGUUGGACAUCAGCCUUGAAAAGAUAGUGAGACUCAAUCUAGAAAACAGAAACAACACUUCUGACUGGUGUCUGCCUGUGGGUUUCUGACUCUGCUCCCAAACUUAUGGUGAGAACUUCUUUGCUAACUUGAGAGUCUGCAAGAGUGAAGUUUUUGCCAAAUUUUGGCCCUUAGUUCCUCUAAAACACUAAUGGAAACGUAACCCCAUGCUUGUUAAGACCCUCCUUCUGCCCUACCAUGAUUACCAGAUCUCUGCUGAGGUUGCAAGAUGAGGUGAUCUUGCUGGAAACAAGGACAAAUGGGGGAAGAAAAUAGGGCUGGACAGGCCCAAGCAUUCAGAGGCCAGGGCUGGGGGUAGGUAGGGGCCUGCUUCAUUUGAGAACAACUAUGAAGGACAAUAGGGUUUCAACAGGGGAGAGAGUAGCGGUAUUCAAAGCAAAGCAAAAGAUGUAAGUGAAAGAUGUAAGCGGGCCGGUGCGAUGGGUCACGCCUAUAAUCCCCGUACUUUGGGAGGCCAAGGCAGGAGGAUCACCGGAACUGAGGUGUUUGAGACCUGCUUGAGCAACAUAGUAGGACCCUGUCUCUACCAAAAAAAAAAAAAAAAAUUAAAUUAGCUGGGCAUGGUGGCUACUGUAGUUUCAGCUACUCAGGAGGCUGAGGCAGGAGGAUCACUUGAGCCUGGGAGGUCAAGGCUACAGUGAGCCUGGGUAACAGAGUGAGACUGUCUCAAAAAAAAAAAAAAGGAGAAAAAGAAAGAUGUAAGUGUGUAAGUGAAGCCUGGAGAUGCAGACACCUGCGAAUGGGCUGCUGAGGGGCACUUGGCUAUGGCUGGGGCUCAGGAAAAGUGGAGCUCAGGGAAGAGAGGCUAGAACAGGGCUCAAAGGGCCUUGAAGGCCAGGCCUGUCAGGGUCCAUCACCUCCUCAGGCUGGAGAAGUCAGUGCAAGCUGCAGUGAUGGGGUCCUGAGGCCCCAGUACUUCUGCCCAUCCUCUCCCACUGUCUCCCAAGAUCAUACAGGGAAGCCUGUUUCCAGAUGCCUGUGAUUUAUUUCCAAAGGAGAGCUACAGCACAUAGGAAAAUACACAUGGCUUUUCAGUCUACAUUUUUACAGAGAAAAGAGAUUCG